UACGUAGGGUGCAAGCGUUGUCCGGAAUUAUUGGGCGUAAAGAGCUCGUAGGCGGUCUGUCGCGUCGGCUGUGAAAACUCGGGGCUCAACCCCGAGCCUGCAGUCGAUACGGGCAGGCUAGAGUGCUGUAGGGGAGACUGGAAUUCCUGGUGUAGCGGUGAAAUGCGCAGAUAUCAGGAGGAACACCGGUGGCGAAGGCGGGUCUCUGGGCAGUAACUGACGCUGAGGAGCGAAAGCGUGGGGAGCGAACAGG
rnacentral:rRNA from 1 species